rnacentral:rRNA from 1 species
CCUCGGGAGGCUGCAGUGGGGAAUAUUGGGCAAUGGGCGCAAGCCUGACCCAGCCACGCCGCGUGAGGGAAGAAGGCCUUCGGGUUGUAAACCUCUGUCCUUAGGGACGAAAAAAAUGACGGUACCUAAGGAGGAAGCUCCGGCUAACUACGUGCCAGCAGCCGCGGUAAUACGUAGGGAGCAAGCGUUGUCCGGAAUUACUGGGCGUAAAGGGUGCGUAGGCGGCUUGGCAAGUCAGAUGUGAAAUCCCCGGGCUUAACUCGGGGGGUGCAUUUGAAACUGCUGAGCUUGAGUGCAGGAGAGGAAAGCGGAAUUCCUAGUGUAGCGGUGAAAUGCGUAGAUAUUAGGAGGAACACCAGUGGCGAAGGCGGCUUUCUGGACUGUAACUGACGCUGAGGCACGAAAGCGUGGGGAGCAAACA